CUUUCCUUUGGUGAUGAGGGGACAUUCGUUUAUCUCCACCGGGCUUUCUCUUAAAGAAAAAAAAGUCUUCUCUUCCACUUCUUUUUCCUGCCCCAGGAAAAUUCUGAAGAUCUCCUGGCAGGAUAAGAUACCAGCCACAGAGAUAUCUUCUUGAACUAAAUUGCCAAACAUUCCAGAUCUACUGCAGAGAGCACAGCUCCACUGGAUUGGCCACAGUGUUUGAAUGCCAAAUGUACACUUGCCAAAAAUAUUAUUUUAUGGAGGUCAAUUCUCCAAGAAUUGUAUAUCAUACAUACAACUGUAUAUCAUAACUUCUGAAGGAGCUGCAGGGCAGCCUUUGCUGACACAGGCUGACUGGGAAUGAGAUAAAUUGGAGGCAGAGAAGAGGAGGGAGGUCAGACAAUGCAAUGGUCUCUCAGAGAGAUCAAAGAACAGCAACUGACUCUCAGUUUCCUUGUUGAUCCUCUCACAAGAGGAGAUCCAUUCUGGGUUGGAUCUCCAGCAGCUCUCCGUGUGUUCCAAAAAGAACUAACAUAGAGUAAGUACUCACAAGGUGGUCUUAUGACACAAGGAUACUCUCAAAGUAUGUCUUAAAAACCUGAGAAUCAAUUGUAUGACAUCUAGCACAGAACUGCCCAGAAUGGCUUGCCCUCAGAGAAACUGCUGUGCUCGGUGAAGAAACGGAGAAUUGAAUUAGCCCAAAGGAAACAUGAAAUACAUGAGAUUAGAGAAGCUACCCCAAAUGUUCAUAUGUAUUAUUUAUGUUUGACCUAUGGCAAAGCAUUCUGAGCUCCUAUUGGUCUGAUCAGUCAUAGUUGGACACACUGUACCUGUAGUGAUGUCAUUUUAGUCCUCUUUGAAAACAAAGGACAAGAAGACAAGAUCUCAUUAUGUGACUUAUGAAUAAAAGCUUGCUCUAUCUCCUAGUCUUUACAGAUCUCCAGUGAUUGUCUCUCAAUGUACUUGUAUCUCAAUGUACAAUGUAUCUUGAUGUACUUAUAAUAAAUUAUUUUAAAUUCUCUUUGUUCUGAGUUCUGUCUUGUUAAAUAGGGUGAAAGCCAAAACAAAGAAUUUUUCUUUCAACAAUGGGUGAAGUCAGCCUGGACUGUUGUUCUUGUUAUCUGAGGGCUUUCCACCUCUAUCACAAUAGGGAGUUCUGCUCCACUUCUGCAAGACAGCCCUCAAUUAAUAUCUGAGAGUGGGUUUGAGUGUCCUGACCCAAGUACUUAAGUCAUGAAGUGGCAGAAAAUUCAACUCUCUUCAGCUUAGAAAAAGAAAGAUGAGUCCAAAAUCUCCAUUUUUAUUUUUCACUUGUGCACCCAGAAAGGAAGACAAAAGAAAAAAAAAAAAAAAAAAAAAGAACAUAAACAAGGCAAGUGAAGAAAGGCUUUGUGUGCAUUUGGGACUCCCAGGAGAUCCAACUGUAAAAGUUUUGCAUUUAGAAAACAUGUCGAAAAAGUUGAAGCAUUAAGAAGAUCAGCCUUUGCCUGUUGAAUGAAAGACUAUUAUGAGUGUGACUCACAUACUAAAUGGAAAUCUGCCUUCAAAGACUAUUUUACUGCCUAAUUAUAUAUACACAAAAUGUAGCUGUCUGUUUCAAUCAAAUCAUAGGAAAAGGAAUCAAAUUCCUCUUAAAAUGCAAUUUUCAUGGUAUGUUAUAACCUUAGAAAUGCUGCUGAUGCAAAAGGAGGAAGUACAGCUGCAAGAUACAGAUAAGGUUCUAGUAAUU